UACAUUUUUUAAUGACAGUCUAAAAUUGUAAUAUGUUAACAAAUAGAACAAAUUAUGUAAAAGCCCAAACCACUACUAGCGAUUCCGAGCGUAUAACUUAGUAAUUGUCAAACAAAUAUUACUGAAAUUUAUAAUUUAGUAGAAGCAAAUAAAGUUUAGAAUUAUAUUCCUUGUAUGUUUACUUAAAAUGCCCAAUAGGGCUAUGAAAAUGCCCUUUAAACUUAAAUGGAAAAAACAUAAGAAAAA
rnacentral:lncRNA from 1 species